CACUAGGAAGCUAAAAUAGGGUAACAGCAUUGGCCUUUUAAGCCAAAGAUUGGUGCCUCCCAACCACCUCUAGUGA
rnacentral:tRNA from 1 species